UGGCUCAGUUGGUAAAGCAUCUGCCUGCAAUGCGGGAGACCCAGGUUCAAUCCCUGG
rnacentral:tRNA from 1 species